GUUUGUUUAGGAGGAUGCUUGAUAAGGUGUUUAGGAGGAUGUUUAGGGGGGAUGGAUGUUCGUGAAGAUGUUUAGGAGGGUGUUUGUUUAGGAGGACGCUUAGGAAGGUGUGUAGGAGGAUGUUUAGGGGGGAUGGAUGUUGGUGAAGAUGUUUAGGAGGAUAUUUGUUUAGGAGGAUGCUUAGGAAAGUGUGUAGGAGGAUGUUUGGGGGGAUGGAUGUUCGUGAAGGUGUUAGGAGGGUGUUUGUUUAGGGGGAUGCUUGGGGAAGGUGUUCAGGAGGGUGUCUGGGUACCAGCAGUGCCAGUCCAGAAGUUCAGCAUGUGUUAGGUCAAACCAGGGCAGUGCCCAUUCAAUGUGGCAGACGUUUCUAGCAAAGGGGAAAUGUGCUUUUCCAUCAUGUUCCUACAACUGAUAACACAAUUAAACCUACACUUCUUACCAGGAUAUGGGGUUUUUUUAAAGAUUGGGUUUGUGGGUUUUUUAUUUGCUAACUUAAGUAAGGCCUGAGCUAAGAUAAAGGAACAUAAUCAACUAAAAGUGAAAUCCUGGUGAACACAGUCACUGCUGCAAAAUAUUUAAUUUAAAAUGUACCAGCUUAGAAUCCACAGAUACUUCUAUUCUUGGCCUUUUUAAGCCCUGUGAAAAUAACAGAUUGCCUUAUCUGAAGAUUUUAGUAGGAGUUCAGAGUCAGUGCACAGAAGCACAGAAUCAUUUAGGCUGGAAAAGCCCUCUGAGACCAUUGAAUGGGCACUGCCCUGGUUUGAGCUAACAUAUGUUGAGGUUCUGGACUGGCACUGCUGGUGCUGUGUGUCCUGUUCAGUGUUUGUAAACUGGUAAAAGACACUUCACUACUGUUUCAACACUAAAAAAUUGAAGCUAAUGACUAUAAUCCUUUCUUUUUCCUCCUUUUUCUUAAAAGUGCCCAACAUCCCUGCACAAUGUGGGUAGGACAGUGGGUUUUAUUGAGUUGUGGAUGAAGUUUCUUGAGUCUUCAGUGACAAGGGUUUUGAGGAUGGUUUCUGUGUGUCCUGCACUACUGUGCUUUCUUUUCAGUUCAUCUGGAUAAAAUUUGCAAUAUAACACUUAUUUUAAUUUAGUAGCCCAGCUUUUGAGGGUGAUAUAUCACUCUUACAUCUGUUUCAGUUUUUAAGUCUUGAUAUAAAGAUAUAUUGAGUUUCCAUAAAUUCUUGUAUAAGACUUCAAGAUGUGCUUUGUAAAGUAAAGAAAUGUACUGAGCAUUUAUAACUGUGCAGACUUAGAACUUUGUGAAGUAAUAUUUUAAGGGCAUUUUUAAUUUUGCCAUAUCAAGCCCUUCCCUUCAACUCCUAACAGCUUGCUUUGCAGGCUCUGGCUUUGCUUUGGAAGAAACAUGGAGGGAGGAGAUGAAACCCACAGCAGCAAGCUAGGACACACCAAAAUACAUGAUGAGUCUGUAUUUGCCUUUUUUUUUAAAUAGGUGAAAUAGACCUUAAAGCUCAUCUUGUUCCCCCUGCCCUGGGCAGAGGUACCUUACGCUAUCCCAGGUUGUUCCAAGUGCCAUCCAACCUGAACAUUUCCAGGGAUGGGGCAGCCACAGCUGCUCUGCUUCUUUCACAGAAGAGACGAUAACUGACAAUUGCUGAGGUCACUGAAACAUGGAAAUAAGUUUUAUUUCUGGUAUUUACCAUUACUUGUCUUCAAGGUUCUUGCCAAGUGUGUUUGAUAUUCUCUAUUUUACUUCC